UCAGCAGUGAUGAGCCGUUUAACAUGUAAGAAGAAUCCCUAAGUGGGUUUCUUCAGUGAAAUCUAUUUGUUACGCAUAUUUAUAGGGACCUCUGGCAUA